rnacentral:rRNA from 1 species
CUUACGGGAGGCAGCAGUGGGGAAUUUUGGACAAUGGGCGCAAGCCUGAUCCAGCAAUGCCGCGUGCAGGAUGAAGGCCUUCGGGUUGUAAACUGCUUUUGUACGGAACGAAACGGCGAGCUCUAAUAAAGUUCGCUAAUGACGGUACCGUAAGAAUAAGCACCGGCUAACUACGUGCCAGCAGCCGCGGUAAUACGUAGGGUGCAAGCGUUAAUCGGAAUUACUGGGCGUAAAGCGUGCGCAGGCGGUGAUGUAAGACAGAUGUGAAAUCCCCGGGCUCAACCUGGGACCUGCAUUUGUGACUGCAUCGCUAGAGUACGGUAGAGGGGGAUGGAAUUCCGCGUGUAGCAGUGAAAUGCGUAGAUAUGCGGAGGAACACCGAUGGCGAAGGCAAUCCCCUGGACCUGUACUGACGCUCAUGCACGAAAGCGUGGGGAGCAAACAGGAUUAGAUACCCUGGUAGUCCACGCCCUAAACGAUGUCAACUGGUUGUUGGGGUCUUCUACUGACUCAGUAACGAAGACUACGCGUGAGUUAGACCGCCGUGGGAGGUACGGCCGCGAGGUAGAACGUACGAAAGAAGUUAGACGGACGUGAGACGUAGACCGACGGACGACGACGAGGGGAGGAGG